rnacentral:tRNA from 1 species
AGAAACUUAAGUUAUACUAAACUAGAGGCCUUCAAAGCCCCCAAAAAAGGUUACUUUAGUUUCUG